CCCAAUCACACGGAGCAGUGAAGGCAGGCGCGAGGAGGGGGUGGGAUAGAGUCUCGUGCGGCCAAUCGCGGAGUCUUGCGCGUUGAGAGAGGCCCCGCCCUUACGUCGGAAAGGGCGGAUGCAAGGGAGGGUCACGUGACACUGUCGGAUGGCGUGAGGGCGGUGAAGCCGGAAGUGCCCGUGCAGAGCGUCGCAGGCCUGACCCUGUGGCUCGUUCCUGGAGCUGCUGCUGUUCUCAGUGGGAGUUCUGUACAUGGAACAACUGCAGAACUGGGCCAUCUGACAUAUAGAGUCAAAUUCUACCCUUAAAUUCUGGACAAUCCUGUGUCAGUGAGGAGGCUAUGGCUCUGCUCUUGCUCCCAUCGUAGUCAUGGCGAAAGGGGUACAGAAUUGGGCCUAAAGUGAGGGCACAGUAUGUUUAAAAGGUGCUUGCAGUUAAUUCACAUGUCAUCAGAAAACUCAACCAUUACUGUUCGCCUGGUUCGCUCCUUUGAGCACCGUAAUUUCAGACCUGUGGUGUAUCAUGGAGUUAAUUUGGACCAGACUGUAAAGCAAUUCAUUACAUUUGUAAAGAAUGAUGUGUCUUUAAGAACAGGACUUCCACCUCCCUUUAAAAAAUACAAAUAUGAUACGAUGAAGAUUAUUCACCAAGCACAUGGAUCUAAGACCAAUGAACUUGUAGUGAGUUUGGAGGAUGAUGACAAACUCAUUUUAAAAGAAGACAGCACUUUGAAAGCAGCUGGAGUAGAAGAGGAAGUCCUUGACCUGCUGGGUUGAAAGAAUUGUGACUGCUCUGAACCUUUGUGGGUCCUUUAGCUGUGCCAUAUCCCCUGUGAAUAAUUAGAGCAGAUGAAACUGAAUUAGCGUUCUUCUGUGAAGAAGAUUACAGAAACUACAAAGCUAAUCCGGUUUCGGCCUGGUGACGAUCCAAAGAGACUUGGAUUUUUUUGUUUUCUCAUACCCGUUUAAAACUCUCUUUUUCUGUUUAAUGAGAUUUUUUUUAAAUCAAUAAAUCCUAGAGGAUUGCCUCACAAA